AAUGAACGUUGGCGGCGUGGAUUAGGCAUGCAAGUCGCGCGAGAAGUCAUUUAGCUUGCUAAAAGGCGGACAGCGGCGGAAGGGAGAGUAACGCGUGGUUAUGUACCCUCGAGACCGGGAUAGUGUCGGGAAACUGGCAGUAAUACCGGAUAACAUCUUCGGAUCAAAUGGUGUGAUUCCCCUCGAGGAUCGGACCGCGUACUAUUAGCUAGUUGGCGGGGUAAUAGCCCGCCAAGGCUUAGAUGGUUACCGGGUGUGAGAGCAUGGCCCGGCUCACUGGGACUGAGACACUGCCCAGACAUCUACGGAUGGCUGCAGUCGAGAAUCUUCGGCAAUGGACGAAAGUCUGACCGAGCGACGCCGCGUGCGGGAUGAAGGCCCUCGGGUUGUAAACCGCUGUCAGUUAGGAGGAAAUCCAUGAGGGUACUCUCUCAUGGUUGACCGAUUUUCAGAGGAAGGACGGGCUAAGUUCGUGCCAGCAGCCGCAGUAACAC
rnacentral:rRNA from 1 species